CGAGCAGACACUCUCUAACAUACUACAGAGGGAAAUAACACUUAAAGGGACACUCCAGGCAUCCAGACCACUUCUGCCCAUUGGAGUGGUCUGGGUGCCAACUCCCACUACCCUUAACCCUGCGGGUGUAAUUAUUGCAGUUUUUAUAAACUGCAAUAAUUACCUUGCAGGGUUAACUCCUCCUCUAGUGGCUGUCUACUAGACAGCCACUAGAGGGCAC